AUAUAUAUAAUUAAAAGCUUAAUUAGAUGUGUAAUUACCAUGUUUAGCAAAACAUUAGAAGCUCUUAAUCUUACUCUUUCUGCUAAACUAUGGCUAUCAGUGGCUUGGCCCCGACGCGCUCGGACAUGAACGUAUGGUAGCUUCUCGUCGCCGUCUUCUGAGUGAUUUUGAGCCGGAAUUUGAAAGGGUUGAAUUGGACUCCGGGGAAUUUCCGGCAGCGGCGAAGACGGAGAACUUAGAUGCUCUGUCGAUCAAAGCGAAAUCUGAAGGAAAAAUCGGAGGAGGAGGAGGAUAACGAUAGGGAGGUUCACUGAUAGCAAGCUUAUCUGAUGCCAUUUUGUCAGUUUCCGGUGACUGAACCAAAAGCUCCACCGCUUGAUUCGGCGGAAGUCCAAGUAAAGCAGUGAAAGAACUUCCAGCUUCCGACGUAACAGACAAGAUUUCCUCACCAAAUUGAUGAAACCCAGUUCCUAUUUCUCCCAUUUUAGCUCCGCAAUUCUCGGAUCUAGCUUCCAUUGACUCUAUCAGAUUAUCCAUUUCGCACAAAAAUCAAAACCCAACUUUGAUACAACACAGAUAACCCAAUUCCAGAAUGAGACUAAACAAGAAACACCCAAGUUCAAUCUAUGGUCAAUUUGUACAGUUCCUCCAAUUUCGUUAUUACUGCAAACUUUUAAACAAACCCCACAAAUUUAUUCCACAGUAACCCCACAAAUUCGAGUCAAUGAGCUUCAGAACACUAACAAAUGCAAGAUAAAAUGGAGGUAUUAGAACACUUUUUGAGUGAAAAUGAAGCUUUCUAUACACUUCUUCCUCUCUCUUUUUUCUUUUUGUUGCAAUUUUUGCAGUGUUUUUUUUUUCUUUCUAUAUGGAGUUAUUAUUAUGAGCUUCAA